CACCCUUUAACGUGUACAACAUAUCAACCACUUCAUUUCCAUUUCUAAUUUUACAAAAAAACAACAACAAAACUCAUAUUCUCUUCCCCCAAAUUCAACAACAAUAACUCAUUCACUGUUGUAUCUGAAAUUAUGGGUCCAAUUGUUCUUACUCAAUUAGGUCUCAGUGUAUUAGCUGGUGCCGCACUGGUGAAAUCAGUUAUGGACCAGAAGACGAUGAUGGGUCCAAGUCAGUUUCCUCGGUGCCCUAGUUGUAAUGGAACGGGUCGGGUUUCAUGUAUGUGUUCACGCUGGUCAGAUGGAGAUGUAGGUUGUCGGACUUGUGCCGGGUCGGGUCGGAUGGGUUGCAGCAGCUGUGGAGGUACAGGUACGGGUCGCCCAAUUCCAGUUCAAAUCUCUGUUCGUCCUCCAAACCGUUCACCUUAGAACUGCUUCGAAUUUCAAUAUCGUUAUCUUGUACUUAAUUCAGAUUCUUCAAAUUGAGAAAGGAUUAAAAAAAAUUAUGAAUUGUAUAUGUUUGGCGAUACAUGAAAUCAG
rnacentral:misc_RNA from 1 species